rnacentral:rRNA from 1 species
AUUGAACGCUGGCGGCAGGCUUAACACAUGCAAGUCGAGCGGAGAUGAGGUGCUUGCACCUUAUCUUAGCGGCGGACGGGUGAGUAAUGCUUAGGAAUCUGCCUAUUAGUGGGGGACAACAUUCCGAAAGGAAUGCUAAUACCGCAUACGUCCUACGGGAGAAAGCAGGGGAUCUUCGGACCUUGCGCUAAUAGAUGAGCCUAAGUCGGAUUAGCUAGUUGGUGGGGUAAAGGCCUACCAAGGCGACGAUCUGUAGCGGGUCUGAGAGGAUGAUCCGCGACACUGGGACUGAGACACGGCCCAGACUCCUGCGGGAGGCAGCAGUGGGGAAUAUUGGACAAUGGGCGGAAGCCUGAUCCAGCCAUGCCGCGUGUGUGAAGAAGGCCUUUUGGUUGUAAAGCACUUUAAGCGAGGAGGAGGCUACCUAGAUUAAUACUCUGGGAUAGUGGACGUUACUCGCAGAAUAAGCACCGGCUAACUCUGUGCCAGCAGCCGCCGUAAAAC